UGGGGAAUAUUGCACAAUGGGCGAAAGCCUGAUGCAGCAACGCCGCGUGAGUGAUGAAGGCCUUCGGGUUGUAAAGCUCUGUCUUUUGGGACGAUAAUGACGGUACCAAAGGAGGAAGCCACGGCUAACUACGUGCCAGCAGCCGCGGUAAUACGUAGGUGGCAAGCGUUGUCCGGAUUUACUGGGCGUAAAGGAUGCGUAGGCGGAUUUUUAAGUGAGAUGUGAAAUACCCGGGCUUAACUUGGGUGCUGCAUUUCAAACUGGGAAUCUAGAGUGCGGGAGAGGAGAAUGGAAUUCCUAGUGCAGCGGUGAAAUGCGUAGAGAUUAGGAAGAACACCAGUGGCGAAGGCGAUUCUCUGGACCGUAACUGACGCUGAGGCAUGAAAGCGUGGGUACAAACGGAUU
rnacentral:rRNA from 1 species